rnacentral:rRNA from 1 species
GGGUUGUGAGGUUAAGCGACUAAGCGUACACGGUGGAUGCCCUGGCAGUCAGAGGCGAUGAAGGACGUGCUAAUCUGCGAUAAGCGUCGGUGAGGUGAUAUGAACCGUUAUAACCGGCGAUUUCCGAAUGGGGAAACCCAGUGUGAUUCGUCACACUAUCAUUAACUGAAUCCAUAGGUUAAUGAGGCGAACCGGGGGAACUGAAACAUCUAAGUACCCCGAGGAAAAGAAAUCAACCGAGAUUCCCCCAGUAGCGGCGAGCGAACGGGGAGGAGCCCAGAGCCUGAAUCAGUGUGUGUGUUAGUGGAAGCGUCUGGAAAGGCGCGCGAUACAGGGUGACAGCCCCGUACACAAAAAUGCACAUACUGUGAGCUCGAUGAGUAGGGCGGGACACGUGGUAUCCUGUCUGAAUAUGGGGGGACCAUCCUCCAAGGCUAAAUACUCCUGACUGACCGAUAGUGAACCAGUACCGUGAGGGAAAGGCGAAAAGAAC